rnacentral:rRNA from 1 species
AGAGUUUGAUCCUGGCUCAGAUUGAACGCUGGCGGAAUGCUUUACACAUGCAAGUCGAACGGCAGCACGGGAGCUUGCUCCUGGUGGCGAGUGGCGAACGGGUGAGUAAUGCGUCGGAACGUAUCCAUUAAUGGGGGAUAACGCAGCGAAAGUUGUGCUAAUACCGCAUACGCCCUAUGGGGGAAAGCAGGGGAUCGCAAGACCUUGCGUUAUUCGAGCGGCCGACGUCUGAUUAGCUAGUUGGUGGGGUAAAGGCCUACCAAGGCGACGAUCAGUAGCGGGUCUGAGAGGAUGAUCCGCCACACUGGGACUGAGACACGGCCCAGACUCCUACGGGAGGCAGCAGUGGGGAAUUUCGGACAAUGGGGGCAACCCUGAUCCAGCCAUUCCGCGUGAGUGAAGAAGGCCUUCGGGUUGUAAAGCUCUUUCAGCUGGAGUGAAACGGUACGCUCUAACAUAGCGUGCUAAUGACGGUACCAGCAGAAGAAGCACCGGCUAACUACGUGCCAGCAGCCGCGGUAAUACGUAGGGUGCGAGCGUUAAUCGGAAUUACUGGGCGUAAAGCGUGCGCAGGCGGAUUGUUAAGCAAGACGUGAAAUCCCCGGGCUUAACCUGGGAAUGGCGUUUUGAACUGGCAGUCUAGAGUGUGUCAGAGGGGGGUAGAAUUCCACGUGUAGCAGUGAAAUGCGUAGAGAUGUGGAGGAAUACCGAUGGCGAAGGCAGCCCCCUGGGAUAACACUGACGCUCAUGUACGAAAGCGUGGGUAGCAAACAGGAUUAGAUACCCUGGUAGUCG